rnacentral:rRNA from 1 species
UACGGAGGGGGCUAGCGUUAUUCGGAAUUACUGGGCGUAAAGCGCACGUAGGCGGCUUUGUAAGUAAGAGGUGAAAGCCCAGAGCUCAACUCUGGAAUUGCCUUUUAGACUGCAUCGCUUGAAUCAUGGAGAGGUCAGUGGAAUUCCGAGUGUAGAGGUGAAAUUCGUAGAUAUUCGGAAGAACACCAGUGGCGAAGGCGGCUGACUGGACAUGUAUUGACGCUGAGGUGCGAAAGCGUGGGGAGCAAACAGG